rnacentral:rRNA from 1 species
AGAGUUUGAUCCUGGCUCAGGAUGAACGCUGGCGGCGUGCCUAAUACAUGCAAGUCGAGCGGUAAGGCUCUGCACUUAGUAUUUGAUCGGGAAUUUAUUCCUACGGCACCAUUGUGAACGCUCUAGGCAGAGCUGAAGCGACAGUGUUAAAAGAUCGAAUAAUAAGUGUAGAGUACACGAGCGGCGGACGGCUGAGUAACACGUAGGAACGUACCCCAAAGUGAGGGAUAAGCACCAGAAAUGGUGUCUAAUACCGCAUGUGGCCCACGGGCUAAAGCUUUAUGCGCUUUGGGAACGGCCUGCGCAAGAUUAGCUUGUUGGUGAGGUAAUGGCUCACCAAGGCGACGAUCUUUAGCUGGUCUGAGAGGAUGACCAGCCAGACUGGGACUGAGACACGGCCCAGACUCCUACGGGAGGCAGCAGUAGGGAAUUUUCCACAAUGGGCGAAAGCCUGAUGGAGCAACGCCGCGUGCAGGAUGAAGGCCUUCGGGUCGUAAACUGCUUUUACGAGUGAAGAUUAUGACGGUAGCUCGUGAAUAAGGAUCGGCUAACUCCGUGCCAGCAGCCGCGGUCAUACGGAGGAUCCAAGCGUUAUCCGGAAUUACUGGGCGUAAAGAGUUGCGUAGGUGGCAUUGUAAGUAGGUAGUGAAAGCGUUCGGCUCAACCGGAUAAACAUUAUCUAAACUGCAAAGCUAGAGGAUGAGAGAGGUUAUUGGAAUUCCCAGUGUAGGAGUGAAAUCCGUAGAUAUUGGGAGGAACACCGAUGGCGUAGGCAGAUAACUGGCUCAUUCCUGACACUAAGGCACGAAAGCGUGGGUAGCAAACGGGAUUAGAUACCCCGGUAGUCCACGCCGUAAACUAUGGAUGCUAGCUGUUAGAGGUAUCGACCCCUCUAGUAGCGAAGCUAACGCGUUAAGCAUCCCGCCUGUGGAGUACGGUCGCAAGACUAAAACAUAAAGGAAUUGACGGGGACCCGCACAAGCGGUGGAGCGUGUUGUUUAAUUCGAUGGUAAGCGAAGAACCUUACCCAGGCUUGACAUCCCUUGAAUUUUUGCGAAAGCAAAGAGUGCUUUAUUGAGCAAGGUGACAGGUGAUGCAUGGCCGUCGUCAGCUCGUGUCGUGAGAUGUUUGGUUAAGUCCAUCAACGAGCGCAACCCUUGUUGUCAGUUGUAUUUUUCUGGCUAGACUGCCCUGGUAACAGGGAGGAAGGAGGGGAGGAUGUCAGGUCAG